CAGUCGCCACGGGAAUACGAAGGGUGCAAGCGUUAAUCGGAAUUACUGGGCGUAAAGCGUGCGUAGGCGGUGAGUUAAGUCUGCUGUGAAAUCCCCGGGCUCAACCUGGGAAUUGCAGUGGAUACUGGGUCACUAGAGUGUGGUAGAGGAUAGUGGAAUUUCCGGUGUAGCAGUGAAAUGCGUAGAGAUCGGAAGGAACAUCUGUGGCGAAGGCGACUAUCUAGGCCAACACUGACACUGAGGCACGAAAGCGUGGGGAGCAAACAGGAUUAGAUACCCCAGUAGUCCCUGUCUCUUAUAC
rnacentral:rRNA from 1 species